CUUAAACAUAAAACUCUGUGACACUCUAAACUGCAAGACAAUGUGACAAUGAGUAUGCCAGUCUGAAAAGAACAAAGGAGCAGGGUUCAGAAGAACUGGCCUUUACCAGCUCUGUCAUUUUCCAGUGGUGUGGCCUUGCAGAGGUCACUUCAGUUUUCCAGGCUUUGGCCAAAGAAAGGUGGGGGCAGGUGGUACCUUCCCAGCUCAAGUCUUCUGGAAUAGAGCGUACGCCCAUGAAGCCCUGCACCUGUUGGAGCUUCAUAGCUGUAAUCAAGGAGCCUCUGCCAUGAACCCGGGGAUAAGUGAGGAAAGAAAUUUUUCCUCCUUCACAGUAUCAAGUGCCAGGCCAGGGCACUUUGUCCAGGCCUCACUGUGAAGAAAGAGUAAUGUUCAAGGAUGGCAGCAGGAAGGACCCUAAUGAAGAGGUUUAUCUGAUUGGUUUACUGGAGUCCUAUGUGGGAUGAAUAGCUUCAGCCUUUGCGCUUGCACCUCUUUGCUGUCCACUCCAAUCAAGAACGGGGGCCCUCGCAACUCUCUCAGUUCUGAAACAAAUUAAAUCUCAGUGACAGACUC
rnacentral:lncRNA from 10 species